GGGUUGUGAGGUUAAGCGACUAAGCGUACACGGUGGAUGCCCUGGCAGUCAGAGGCGAUGAAGGACGUGCUAAUCUGCGAUAAGCGUCGGUAAGGUGAUAUGAACCGUUAUAACCGGCGAUUUCCGAAUGGGGAAACCCAGUGUGAUUCGUCACACUAUCAUUAACUGAAUCCAUAGGUUAAUGAGGCGAACCGGGGGAACUGAAACAUCUAAGUACCCCGAGGAAAAGAAAUCAACCGAGAUUCCCCCAGUAGCGGCGAGCGAACGGGGAGCAGCCCAGAGCCUGAAUCAGUGUGUGUGUUAGUGGAAGCGUCUGGAAAGGCGCGCGAUACAGGGUGACAGCCCCGUACACAAAAAUGCACAUACUGUGAGCUCGAUGAGUAGGGCGGGACACGUGGUAUCCUGUCUGAAUAUGGGGGGACCAUCCUCCAAGGCUAAAUACUCCUGACUGACCGAUAGUGAACCAGUACCGUGAGGGAAAGGCGAAAAGAACCCCGGCGAGGGGAGUGAAAAAGAACCUGAAACCGUGUACGUACAAGCAGUGGGAGCACGCUUAGGCGUGUGACUGCGUACCUUUUGUAUAAUGGGUCAGCGACUUAUAUUCUGUAGCAAGGUUAACCGAAUAGGGGAGCCGAAGGGAAACCGAGUCUUAACUGGGCGUUAAGUUGCAGGGUAUAGACCCGAAACCCGGUGAUCUAGCCAUGGGCAGGUUGAAGGUUGGGUAACACUAACUGGAGGACCGAACCGACUAAUGUUGAAAAAUUAGCGGAUGACUUGUGGCUGGGGGUGAAAGGCCAAUCAAACCGGGAGAUAGCUGGUUCUCCCCGAAAGCUAUUUAGGUAGCGCCUCGUGAAUUCAUCUCCGGGGGUAGAGCACUGUUUCGGCAAGGGGGUCAUCCCGACUUACCAACCCGAUGCAAACUGCGAAUACCGGAGAAUGUUAUCACGGGAGACACACGGCGGGUGCUAACGUCCGUCGUGAAGAGGGAAACAACCCAGACCGCCAGCUAAGGUCCCAAAGUCAUGGUUAAGUGGGAAACGAUGUGGGAAGGCCCAGACAGCCAGGAUGUUGGCUUAGAAGCAGCCAUCAUUUAAAGAAAGCGUAAUAGCUCACUGGUCGAGUCGGCCUGCGCGGAAGAUGUAACGGGGCUAAACCAUGCACCGAAGCUGCGGCAGCGACGCUGAUGCGUUGUUGGGUAGGGGAGCGUUCUGUAAGCCUGCGAAGGUGUGCUGUGAGGCAUGCUGGAGGUAUCAGAAGUGCGAAUGCUGACAUAAGUAACGAUAAAGCGGGUGAAAAGCCCGCUCGCCGGAAGACCAAGGGUUCCUGUCCAACGUUAAUCGGGGCAGGGUGAGUCGACCCCUAAGGCGAGGCCGAAAGGCGUAGUCGAUGGGAAACAGGUUAAUAUUCCUGUACUUGGUGUUACUGCGAAGGGGGGACGGAGAAGGCUAUGUUGGCCGGGCGACGGUUGUCCCGGUUUAAGCGUGUAGGCUGGUUUUCCAGGCAAAUCCGGAAAAUCAAGGCUGAGGCGUGAUGACGAGGCACUACGGUGCUGAAGCAACAAAUGCCCUGCUUCCAGGAAAAGCCUCUAAGCAUCAGGUAACAUCAAAUCGUACCCCAAACCGACACAGGUGGUCAGGUAGAGAAUACCAAGGCGCUUGAGAGAACUCGGGUGAAGGAACUAGGCAAAAUGGUGCCGUAACUUCGGGAGAAGGCACGCUGAUAUGUAGGUGAAGUCCCUCGCGGAUGGAGCUGAAAUCAGUCGAAGAUACCAGCUGGCUGCAACUGUUUAUUAAAAACACAGCACUGUGCAAACACGAAAGUGGACGUAUACGGUGUGACGCCUGCCCGGUGCCGGAAGGUUAAUUGAUGGGGUCAGCGCAAGCGAAGCUCUUGAUCGAAGCCCCGGUAAACGGCGGCCGUAACUAUAACGGUCCUAAGGUAGCGAAAUUCCUUGUCGGGUAAGUUCCGACCUGCACGAAUGGCGUAAUGAUGGCCAGGCUGUCUCCACCCGAGACUCAGUGAAAUUGAACUCGCUGUGAAGAUGCAGUGUACCCGCGGCAAGACGGAAAGACCCCGUGAACCUUUACUAUAGCUUGACACUGAACAUUGAGCCUUGAUGUGUAGGAUAGGUGGGAGGCUUUGAAGUGUGGACGCCAGUCUGCAUGGAGCCGGCCUUGAAAUACCACCCUUUAAUGUUUGAUGUUCUAACGUUGACCCGUGAUCCGGGUUGCGGACAGUGUCUGGUGGGUAGUUUGACUGGGGCGGUCUCCUCCUAAAGAGUAACGGAGGAGCACGAAGGUUGGCUAAUCCUGGUCGGACAUCAGGAGGUUAGUGCAAUGGCAUAAGCCAGCUUGACUGCGAGCGUGACGGCGCGAGCAGGUGCGAAAGCAGGUCAUAGUGAUCCGGUGGUUCUGAAUGGAAGGGCCAUCGCUCAACGGAUAAAAGGUACUCCGGGGAUAACAGGCUGAUACCGCCCAAGAGUUCAUAUCGACGGCGGUGUUUGGCACCUCGAUGUCGGCUCAUCACAUCCUGGGGCUGAAGUAGGUCCCAAGGGUAUGGCUGUUCGCCAUUUAAAGUGGUACGCGAGCUGGGUUUAGAACGUCGUGAGACAGUUCGGUCCCUAUCUGCCGUGGGCGCUGGAGAACUGAGGGGGGCUGCUCCUAGUACGAGAGGACCGGAGUGGACGCAUCACUGGUGUUCGGGUUGUCAUGCCAAUGGCACUGCCCGGUAGCUAAAUGCGGAAGAGAUAAGUGCUGAAAGCAUCUAAGCACGAAACUUGCCCCGAGAUGAGUUCUCCCUGACUCCUUGAGAGUCCUGAAGGAACGUUGAAGACGACGACGUUGAUAGGCCGGGUGUGUAAGCGCAGCGAUGCGUUGAGCUAACCGGUACUAAUGAACCGUGAGGCUUAACCUUACAACGCCGAAGGUGUUU
rnacentral:rRNA from 1 species